AUGGGGUGACUGCGUACCUUUUGUAUAAUGGGUCAGCGACUUAUAUUCUGUAGCAAGGUUAACCGUAUAGGGGAGCCGUAGGGAAACCGAGUCUUAACUGGGCGAAUGAGUUGCAGGGUAUAGACCCGAAACCCGGUGAUCUAUCCAUGGGCAGGUUGAAGGUUGGGUAACACUAACUGGAGGACCGAACCGACUAAUGUUGAAAAAUUAGCGGAUGACUUGUGGAUGGGGGUGAAAGGCCAAUCAAACCGGGAGAUAGCUGGUUCUCCCCGAAAGCUAUUUAGGUAGCGCCUCGUGAAUUCAUCUUCGGGGGUAGAGCACUGUUUCGACUAGGGGGUCAUCCCGACUUACCAACUCGAUGCAAACUGCGAAUACCGAAGAAUGUUAUCACGGGAGACACACGGCGGGUGCUAACGUCCGUCGUGAAGAGGGAAACAACCCAGACCGCCAGCUAAGGUCCCAAAGUCAUGGUUAAGUGGGAAACGAAGUGGGAAGGCUCAGACAGCCAGGAUGUUGGCUUAGAAGCAGCCAUCAUUUAAAGAAAGCGUAAUAGCUCACUGGUCGAGUCGGCCCGCGCGGAAGAUGUAACGGGGCUAAACCAUGCACCGAAGCUGCGGCAGCGACACAAUGUGUUGUUGGGUAGGGGAGCGUUCUGUAAGCCUGCGAAGGUGUACUGUGAGGUAUGCUGGAGGUAUCAGAAGUGCGAAUGCUGACAUAAGUAACGAUAAUGCGGGUGAAAAACCCGCACGCCGGAAGACCAAGGGUUCCUGUCCAACGUUAAUCGGGGCAGGGUGAGUCGACCCCUAAGGCGAGGCUGAAAAGCGUAGUCGAUGGGAAACGGGUUAAUAUUCCCGUACUGGUGGUAACUGCGAUGGGGGAACGGAGAAGGCUAGGUUGUCCGGGCGACGGUCGUCCCGGUUCAAGCAGGUAGGCAGAGUGAUUAGGCAAAUCCGGUCACUUAAUGCUGAGAUGUGAUGACGAACCACCAAGGUGGUGAAGCAAUUGAUGCCCCGCUUCCAGGAAAAGCCUCUAAGCUUCAGGUUACCAACAAUCGUACCCCAAACCGACACAGGUGGUCAGGUAGAGAAUACUCAGGCGCUUGAGAGAACUCGGGUGAAGGAACUAGGCAAAAUGGUGCCGUAACUUCGGGAGAAGGCACGCUGGCGGUAGGUAAAGUCCCUUGCGGACGGCGCUGAAGCCAGUCGAAGAUACCAGCUGGCUGCAACUGUUUAUUAAAAACACAGCACUGUGCAAACACGAAAGUGGACGUAUACGGUGUGACGCCUGCCCGGUGCUGGAAGGUUAAUUGAUGGGGUCAGCCGCAAGGCGAAGCUCCUGAUCGAAGCCCCAGUAAACGGCGGCCGUAACUAUAACGGUCCUAAGGUAGCGAAAUUCCUUGUCGGGUAAGUUCCGACCUGCACGAAUGGCGUAAUGAUGGCCAGGCUGUCUCCACCCGAGACUCAGUGAAAUUGAACUCGCUGUGAAGAUGCAGUGUACCCGCGGCAAGACGGAAAGACCCCGUGAACCUUUACUAUAGCUUGACACUGAACAUUGAGCCUUGAUGUGUAGGAUAGGUGGGAGGCUUUGAAGUGUGGACGCCAGUCUGCAUGGAGCCAACCUUGAAAUACCACCCUUUAACGUUUGAUGUUCUAACCUAGGCCCAUAAACUGGGUCGGGGACCGUGUCUGGUGGGUAGUUUGACUGGGGCGGUCUCCUCCUAAAGAGUAACGGAGGAGCACGAAGGUUGGCUAAGCAUGGUCGGACAUCAUGCGGUUAGUGCAAAGGCAUAAGCCAGCUUGACUGCGAGAGUGACGGCUCGAGCAGGUACGAAAGUAGGUCUUAGUGAUCCGGUGGUUCUGAAUGGAAGGGCCAUCGCUCAACGGAUAAAAGGUACUCCGGGGAUAACAGGCUGAUACCGCCCAAGAGUUCAUAUCGACGGCGGUGUUUGGCACCUCGAUGUCGGCUCAUCACAUCCUGGGGCUGAAGUAGGUCCCAAGGGUAUGGCUGUUCGCCAUUUAAAGUGGUACGCGAGCUGGGUUUAGAACGUCGUGAGACAGUUCGGUCCCUAUCUGCCGUGGGCGUUGGAAGAUUGAGAGGGGUUGCUCCUAGUACGAGAGGACCGGAGUGAACGCACCACUGGUGUUCGGGUUGUCAUGCCAAUGGCAUUGCCCGGUAGCUAAGUGCGGAAGAGAUAACCGCUGAAAGCAUCUAAGCGGGAAACUUGCCUCGAGAUGAGUCUUCCCUGUCGCUUUAAGCGACCUAAAGGAACGUUUAAGACUAAGACGUUGAUAGGCUGGGUGUGUAAGCGUAGCGAUACGUUGAGCUAACCAGUACUAAUGAACCGUGAGGCUUAACCUG
rnacentral:rRNA from 1 species